rnacentral:rRNA from 1 species
CCUACGGGGGACAGCAGUGGGGAAUAUUGCACAAUGGGGGAAACCCUGAUGCAGCGACGCCGCGUGAGUGAAGAAGUACUUCGUUACGUAAAGCUCUAUCAGCAGGGAAGAAAAUGACGGUACCUGAGCAAGACGCCCCUGCUAACUACGUGCCAGCCGCCGCGGUCAUACGUAGGGGGCAAGCGUUAUCCGGAUUUACUGGGUGUAACGGGAGCGUAGACGGUGCGCCAAGUCUGGAGUGAAAUGCCGCAGCUUAACUGCGGAACUGCUAUGGAAACUGGCGAACUGGAGUGCGGGAGGGGUAGGCGGAAUGCCUAGUGUAGCGGUGAAAUGCGUAGAUAUUAGGAGGAACACCGGUGGCGAAGGCGGCUUACUGGACCGUGACUGACGUUGAGGCUCGAAAGCGUGGGGAGCAAACAGGAUUAGAUACCCGGGUAGUC